GAUGAACGCUGGCGGCGUGCUUAACACAUGCAAGUCGAACGGUGAAGCCAAGCUUGCUUGGUGGAUCAGUGGCGAACGGGUGAGUAACACGUGAGCAACCUGCCCUGGACUCUGGGAUAAGCGCUGGAAACGGCGUCUAAUACUGGAUAUGAGCUCUCAUCGCAUGGUGGGGGUUGGAAAGAUUUUUCGGUCUGGGAUGGGCUCGCGGCCUAUCAGCUUGUUGGUGAGGUAAUGGCUCACCAAGGCGUCGACGGGUAGCCGGCCUGAGAGGGUGACCGGCCACACUGGGACUGAGACACGGCCCAGACUCCUACGGGAGGCAGCAGUGGGGAAUAUUGCACAAUGGGCGGAAGCCUGAUGCAGCAACGCCGCGUGAGGGAUGACGGCCUUCGGGUUGUAAACCUCUUUUAGCAGGGAAGAAGCGAGAGUGACGGUACCUGCAGAAAAAGCGCCGGCUAACUACGUGCCAGCAGCCGCGGUAAUACGUAGGGCGCAAGCGUUAUCCGGAAUUAUUGGGCGUAAAGAGCUCGUAGGCGGUUUGUCGCGUCUGCUGUGAAAUCCCGAGGCUCAACCUCGGGCCUGCAGUGGGUACGGGCAGACUAGAGUGCGGUAGGGGAGAUUGGAAUUCCUGGUGUAGCGGUGGAAUGCGCAGAUAUCAGGAGGAACACCGAUGGCGAAGGCAGAUCUCUGGGCCGUAACUGACGCUGAGGAGCGAAAGGGUGGGGAGCAAACAGGCUUAGAUACCCUGGUAGUCCACCCCGUAAACGUUGGGAACUAGUUGUGGGGACCAUUCCACGGUUUCCGUGACGCAGCUAACGCAUUAAGUUCCCCGCCUGGGGAGUACGGCCGCAAGGCUAAAACUCAAAGGAAUUGACGGGGACCCGCACAAGCGGCGGAGCAUGCGGAUUAAUUCGAUGCAACGCGAAGAACCUUACCAAGGCUUGACAUACACCAGAACACCGUAGAAAUACGGGACUCUUUGGACACUGGUGAACAGGUGGUGCAUGGUUGUCGUCAGCUCGUGUCGUGAGAUGUUGGGUUAAGUCCCGCAACGAGCGCAACCCUCGUUCUAUGUUGCCAGCACGUAAUGGUGGGAACUCAUGGGAUACUGCCGGGGUCAACUCGGAGGAAGGUGGGGAUGACGUCAAAUCAUCAUGCCCCUUAUGUCUUGGGCUUCACGCAUGCUACAAUGGCCGGUACAAAGGGCUGCAAUACCGUGAGGUGGAGCGAAUCCCAAAAAGCCGGUCCCAGUUCGGAUUGAGGUCUGCAACUCGACCUCAUGAAGUCGGAGUCGCUAGUAAUCGCAGAUCGGCAACGCUGCGGUGAAUACGUUCCCGGGUC
rnacentral:rRNA from 1 species